rnacentral:rRNA from 1 species
UACGUAGGGUGCGAGCGUUGUCCGGAAUUAUUGGGCGUAAAGGGCUCGUAGGCGGUUUGUCGCGUCGGGAGUGAAAUCCACUGGCUUAACUGGUGGCUUGCUUUCGAUACGGGCAGACUGGAGGUAUGCAGGGGAGAACGGAAUUCCUGGUGUAGCGGUGAAUGCGCAGAUAUCAGGAGGAACACCGGUGGCGAAGGCGGUCUCUGGCAUGUCCUGACGCUGAGGAGCGAAGUGUGGGAGCGAACAGG